GAGUUGCGGGCUCAAAGUGUCUGGCCGCCAUUUUGGAUUGAACUCGUGCAUCGUGAAAACGUUUGGAUUUUAUAAAGUUUUUAAAAGCUUUUAGUGUUGUUAUGAUCUAAAUACAUCUAAUUUAACAUGGAGACCAUAUUAGAACAACAGAGGAAGCUUCAUGAGGAGCGAGAAAGGCUUGAAGAGGCGAUGUCCGGUGAAAUGAUGCACAAAAUCAACAAAAAAUCCUCGGGGAAAGAAAAGAUAAACAUUGACCACCAAAUACGAUCAUUACUCGAGAGAUCCGUUGAUGUAGCAGACAACAUUGUUAAGUUAUAUGAAGAUAGUGAUGG